UGGGGUGUAGCUCAGUGGUAGAGCACUUCCCCAGCAUACUCAAAUCUCUGGGUUCAAUCCCCAGCACCAUAA
rnacentral:tRNA from 1 species